rnacentral:rRNA from 1 species
CCUACGGGCGGCAGCAGUGAGGAAUAUUGGUCAAUGGGAGAGAUCCUGAACCAGCCAAGCCGCGUGAGGGAAGACGGCCCUAUGGGUUGUAAACCUCUUUUGUCGGAGAAUAAAACGCGGGACGAGUCCCGGACUGCGUGUAUCAGAAGAAAAAGGAUCGGCUAACUCCGUGCCAGCAGCCGCGGUAAUACGGAGGAUGCGAGCGUUAUCCGGAUUUAUUGGGUUUAAAGGGUGCGUAGGCGGUUCGUUAAGUCAGCGGUAAAAUUUCGGGGCUCAACCUCGACUUGCAGUUGAAACUGGCAGUCUUGAGUAGGGUAGAGGUAGGCGGAAUGCGCGGUGUAGCGGUGAAAUGCAUAGAUAUCGCGAAGAACUCCGAUUGCGAAGGCAGCUUACUGGAGUCAGACUGACGCUGAGGCACGAAAGCGUGGGGAUCGAACAGGAUUAGAUACCCGUGUAGUC